UAAGUCAGCCACGAAUAGGCUAUCCCAACUAACGGCGGGAAAGACUCCACGGAGGGUGUAAGACCCGUGUGGGCGCGUGUUAAAGCUGUGCGGGCUCGGCCUCUAUUCCCUGAGAGUCGCGUUGCUUGAGCAUGCAGCGCUAAGCAGGUCGUAAACUCGAUCUAAGGCUAAAUAUCUCCACAGAACCGAUAGCGAACAAGUACCGUGAGGGAAAGUUGAAAAGCACUCUGGAGAGAGAGUCAAAAGACCGUGAAACCGCUCAGAGUAUAAGCCCAUGGCAGCUUGGAAGGCAUAUCGAAAGCGGGGCAUCGGUCUGCCUUCGCAGGGAGUCGGUGUUACCUUGCUUCUGUUGUGGCUCGUCACGGUAGGGGGGUCAGGUCCAAAUCCCGCCGACGUGUGGGGGGUUCUUGGGUGUGUUGUGGUUUGUCGGUUGGCUUCGGCUCUCAGGCGGACUCUUCGUGCUCGGUCCCUCUUCUAACACGGACGUUCAGACUCAGAGGCAAGACGCGAUAAACAGCCCACCACGGCACGUUGUGAGGUCACCCACAGGCUCGACUUUCGAUUGUGAGCCUUGACGCCGAGCAAGCACAAUGCGUGUCACUGAGGUUCCUAACCAGGCAAAUGAGCCAGGAUCGUGGAACGACACGCGCUCAACAGUCAGGUUCGGGCGGAGACAGAGUUCUGGUACGAUCCUCUUGCGACGAGCCGGCUUCUGGCCUAUAUCCGAUGCUCAGGUCUUCCGCAUGUGCCGCGGGAGAUCGCUUUGACGGUCUGGA
rnacentral:rRNA from 1 species